CAAUAGCGUAUAUUAAAGUUGUUGCAGUUAAAAAGCUCGUAGUCGGAUAUCUGCCAUUGGCAGGGGGAGAUCUUCGCUGAUUGUCACGUGUUUGCUGUGGCAUACAUUCGUUGGUCGUGCGCUUCAGUGCGCAUGACAAUCGGAUCAUUUACUUUGACUAAACUAGAGUGUUUCAAGCAAGUGCCUGCUAUGAAUACUGUGCAGCAUGGAAUAAUGAAAUAGGACAUUGGUUCGAUUUUGUUGGUUUCGAGACCCAAUGUAAUGAUUAAUAGGAACAGUUGGGGGCAUUCGUAUUCAACAGCUAGAGGUGAAAUUCUUAGAUUUGUUGAAGACGAACUACAGCGAAAGCAUUUGCCAAGGAUGUUUUCAUUGA
rnacentral:rRNA from 1 species